rnacentral:rRNA from 1 species
AUGAACGCUAGCUACAGGCUUAACACAUGCAAGUCGAGGGGCAGCAUGAACUUAGCUUGCUAAGUUUGAUGGCGACCGGCGCACGGGUGAGUAACACGUAUCCAACCUGCCGAUGACUCGGGGAUAGCCUUUCGAAAGAAAGAUUAAUACCCGAUGGCAUAGUUCUUCCGCAUGGUAGAACUAUUAAAGAAUUUCGGUCAUCGAUGGGGAUGCGUUCCAUUAGGUUGUUGGCGGGGUAACGGCCCACCAAGCCUUCGAUGGAUAGGGGUUCUGAGAGGAAGGUCCCCCACAUUGGAACUGAGACACGGUCCAAACUCCUACGGGAGGCAGCAGUGAGGAAUAUUGGUCAAUGGACGAGAGUCUGAACCAGCCAAGUAGCGUGAAGGAUGACUGCCCUAUGGGUUGUAAACUUCUUUUAUACGGGAAUAAAGUGAGGCACGUGUGCCUUUUUGUAUGUACCGUAUGAAUAAGGAUCGGCUAACUCCGUGCCAGCAGCCGCGGUAAUACGGAGGAUCCGAGCGUUAUCCGGAUUUAUUGGGUUUAAAGGGAGCGUAGGCGGACGCUUAAGUCAGUUGUGAAAGUUUGCGGCUCAACCGUAAAAUUGCAGUUGAUACUGGGUGUCUUGAGUACAGUAGAGGCAGGCGGAAUUCGUGGUGUAGCGGUGAAAUGCUUAGAUAUCACGAAGAACUCCGAUUGCGAAGGCAGCCUGCUGGACUGUAACUGACGCUGAUGCUCGAAAGUGUGGGUAUCAAACAGGAUUAGAUACCCUGGUAGUCCAUGCCGUAAACGAUGAUUACUAGGUGUUGGGGGAUUGACCCCCUCAGUGCCGCAGUUAACACAAUAAGUAAUCCACCUGGGGAGUACGGCCGCAAGGUUGAAACUCAAAGGAAUUGACGGGGGCCCGCACAAGCAGUGGAGUAUGUGGUUUAAUUCGACGCAACGCGAAGAACCUUACCAAGGCUUGACAUUGAUUGAACGCUCUAGAGAUAGAGAUUUCCCUUCGGGGACAAGAAAACAGGUGGUGCAUGGCUGUCGUCAGCUCGUGUCGUGAGAUGUUGGGUUAAGUCCCGCAACGAGCGCAACCCUUAUUGCCAGUUACUACGAAAGAGGACUCUGGCGAGACUGCCGUUGACAAAACGGAGGAAGGUGGGGAUGACGUCAAAUCAGCACGGCCCUUACGUCCGGGGCUACACACGUGUUACAAUGGGGGGUACAGAAGGCAGCUACACGGCGACGUGAUGCUAAUCCCUAAAGCCUCUCUCAGUUCGGAUUGGAGUCUGCAACCCGACUCCAUGAAGCUGGAUUCGCUAGUAAUCGCGCAUCAGCCACGGCGCGGUGAAUACGUUCCCGGGCCUUGUACACACCGCCCGUCACACCAUGAGAGCCGGGGGGACCCGAAGUCGGUAGUCUAACCGCAAGGAGGACGCCGCCGAAGGUAAAACUGGUGAUUGGGGUG